rnacentral:rRNA from 1 species
GACGAACGCUGGCGGCGUGCCUAAUACAUGCAAGUCGAACGCUUCUUUCCUCCCGAGUGCUUGCACUCAAUUGGAAAGAGGAGUGGCGGACGGGUGAGUAACACGUGGGUAACCUACCCAUCAGAGGGGGAUAACACUUGGAAACAGGUGCUAAUACCGCAUAACAGUUUAUGCCGCAUGGCAUAAGAGUGAAAGGCGCUUUCGGGUGUCGCUGAUGGAUGGACCCGCGGUGCAUUAGCUAGUUGGUGAGGUAACGGCUCACCAAGGCCACGAUGCAUAGCCGACCUGAGAGGGUGAUCGGCCACACUGGGACUGAGACACGGCCCAGACUCCUACGGGAGGCAGCAGUAGGGAAUCUUCGGCAAUGGACGAAAGUCUGACCGAGCAACGCCGCGUGGGUGAAGAAGGUUUUCGGAUCGUAAAACUCUGUUGUUAGAGAAGAACAAGGACGUUAGUAACUGAACGUCCCCUGACGGUAUCUAACCAGAAAGCCACGGCUAACUACGUG